GACGAACGCUGGCGGCGUGCUUAACGCAUGCAAGUCGAACGGAAAGGCCCUGCUUUUGUGGGGUGCUCGAGUGGCGAACGGGUGAGUAACACGAGAGUAACCUGCCCUUGACUUUGGGAUAACUUCAGGAAACUGGGGCUAAUACCGGAUAGGAGCUCCUGCUGCAUGGUGGGGGUUGGAAAGUUUCGGCGGUUGGGGAUGGACUCGCGGCUUAUCAGCUUGUUGGUGGGGUAGUGGCUUACCAAGGCUUUGACGGGUAGCCGGCCUGAGAGGGUGACCGGCCACAUUGGGACUGAGAUACGGCCCAGACUCCUACGGGAGGCAGCAGUGGGGAAUAUUGCACAAUGGGCGGAAGCCUGAUGCAGCAACGCCGCGUGCGGGAUGACGGCCUUCGGGUUGUAAACCGCUUUCGCCUGUGACGAAGCGUGAGUGACGGUAAUGGGUAAAGAAGCACCGGCUAACUACGUG
rnacentral:rRNA from 1 species